rnacentral:lncRNA from 1 species
AGCUGCUGGUGGUAGUAGUAGUAGUAUUUAACUUCACCGACGGCAGGCGCUUCGGUCCCAAACGAAAUCGCUAGGCCGUUGCGCCACCCUUCCGCCGCCGCGUGCGCGCCAUUUAAGCAGGCAGGCGAUCAGCUCUCCACCACGCCACUGUCCCGACGAGAGCAGGAGCUAGCUCGCGUCGAGUCAUAUUUUCUGCCUAAGGUACGCCCAGCUGCGAGACUAUUCUUCUGCUGAGCCAAGCAGGCAAAGCACGCGACGACGGUGUCCCGGAGGCCGUAGUCUCUGGUGCCGUCGUCGUCACUUGCGUGAAAACUGAAUAUCAGAAUAUCAGAUGCACGACUCGUUUAUCGCUUUUGUACUCAGGUCGGGGUCGCGCCGUACGACGCAGGCGCUGCUUGGAGAUGGAGCUGGUGCUGGUGAUCUCGCUGCCGCUCGUGGCCCUCGUCGUCAUCGUCGCCAUCAUCCUCUGCAUCAUCUGCCGCUGAUCGCAGACGAUGGCCUCUUCAGCCUGCACGGCCGUAUGCGUUGCGACGCCGGCGUCGCCUGCUCAUCAGUACCUCAAUUGUUUUGUAACCACAAAUUAAACACAUAAAGAACCAUCUUGCUGUGUCUGCACCAACAGCUUGUCUUCGUAACCAAGCGACUAGAGAUUUCUCCAGCGUUUCGAGUGAGUCUUGAUGUGGCCACAGAUGUGGGUAAGCUUGUACUAUCAGUUCACUGAUGAGUGACGAGAUUGCCAGUCCGUUAGAGGAUUCCGCGCGCCGUCACCUCCCGAUAUCAUUGCCCCAGCAGUUUGAGCCUUUCAGGGAUGGGAUGCUGUUCAUCCCGCGCUCCAUCCUGUAGGUUCAGGUUUCAGGGUUGUUCAUGUUCUUCAUGAUCCGGUUUCGCCUCAAUGGAAAUUCUCGAGUUUGCAGCCGUGCCUAGCUUCUCCCACUCCCACCUGCUUUUGUUCUCCACAAAUCCACCCUUCGAUUCCGAUCUUGGUUGCUUCUUCGUCCGUCCAUAUGCCUUCGCGACUCUAGCUGCUACUACUAGUCCUGCGAGUGGGAUAUACACGCUUACGCCGACGACGACGUCCUAGUUAGAUCAACGAAAAACGCUGGUACAUGUUUCUUCUUUGUUGAAAGCUGUUUGGUUUACGAAAUAUAACGUAAAUGAUAAAUGGCAAUGAUUCAUAUAUUGAGCACCAGCGUAAUAAGUUUAAAUAAGUUGAUAUUAGUUUUUAAUGUGAUACCUGAUUACAGUUAGACUUAAACAAAUAUAAUGUAACGAUACAAAUAUAUAAGGAUUCCUCUUCAUUUCUCUGGCCAUCAAAUACCCCUUCAGACUGUCUCCGGUAGCCUACUAUAAUCCUUAUCUCGCCCUUUAUUUCAAAUUUAACCGUAAUUACAAUCCAAAUUCGGUGUUUACAACUUAACCGUAAUUACAAUCCAAAUUCGGUGUUUACAAGAUCUCCUUCGGACAGCCGUAGGAGCAGAGAGAUCCUAGUUAUAGUGCGCCUUGCCAAGGGAGAGAGAGAGAAAAAG